AAAAAAAAAAAAAGCCUCCAAGAUAAGGCGAGGAAGGGUUGCCUACGUGGCAUCACAAAACCCAAUAAUUCUACUCAUGUAAGACCCCAACUCGAUUUUCAUCACACGUGGCACGUGUGAGGCUUCAGCUUUAUUUUGCGUCACUGUCGCGUUACGGCUAAGUGGAAUCGCCAUGGCUGCGUCUCUCUUCCUUCCCUCUUCUCCGUUCAAACUCAACCCUCCAACGCCCAACUCUGUUACCGUUACGCUCCGUUUCCCUCCCCUCAAUCGCCGUUAUAACGCCUUAUGAGUCGCUGCUUCCGUUUCCGUUUCCGUUUCCAGCCCCAACGUGCGAACCGGUCCUGAUGAAUGUCGAUCUUGUUGCUUCCAUUCUCUCUAAGGAAAACUCAAGGCUCUGGAUAGUGAAUGGAUUCAAGUUAUAUUUGAAGCGCCUGAAUUGAAGGUAGGAUCAUGGUAGGCACUGUAUGGUGGCCAGAGUGAAGUUAAACUCAGAAUCACUUAUGUUGAUGAGAAAUUCAGGUUAGGAUUGGGUUCCAGAGGUUCCCUGUUUGUUUUUCAAAGAAUAUGAAAUCAAAAUGUGAUAAGAAAAAAUUCCUUCAGGCCUUCAGUGAAAGUUCUGUCAAGUUUGUAUCUUGACACUGCACAAUUUCAUGUAUGAUAAUAUGAUUAAUAGUGUAUAUGAGUAUUUCAUGUAUGAUAAUAUGAUUAAUAGUGUAUAUGAGUAGGAGCUUGAAAAGACCACGUUACUCUUAAGCUGCAGAUUUUGUCUCAAAUGGACUAGUGUGUUAUAAGGUGCAAUGUACUGUAAUUAACUUGUUAGUGAGACAGUGAUACAAUCUUUCCAUUUCCAUAUUCCUGGAAGUUAACAUUUUUUGGUUGAUGUAAUUGAUCUAUCAUUUUCAUUUAUGACAGUGGCAAAAAGAUUUUUUA